AUGUAAGCAUUAAUCCAACCAUAGUUAGCCCUAGUUCAUCGUCUAAGGCUUCUUCCUAGGAUUUUAACCAUAUUUCAUUAAGUGCACGAGGGCCUAUGCAUAAUUUUUCCGUUGAUUUACAUAUAUUACGUAGUGAACACAAAUUUAUAACUACUCAAUUCAUAAACCUAGCCUACUUGGGCGCCAAGCUGCUGCACGGAGGAAUUGCAGAUAAUUUUCUGGUUUUUUCGGACGACAUGAC
rnacentral:lncRNA from 1 species